AUGACGUGGACGGUGAUGUGCACCUACUCGCGGCAGCUGGCGUCCAGGUACCCGACGUGCUGCGUCUCCUUCUCCUCCUACAACAGCACCAUCGUGCCGUGCGGGUGCGGCCCUCACAAGAGCACGGGCAGCCGCGGCGGCAAGAGCCACGGCGACGGGUGCAUCGCCGGCGACCCCAAGAAGGACGGCGCGCAGCUGCUGCAGUGCACCAACCACAUGUGCCCCAUCCGCGUGCACUGGCACGUCAAGCUCAACUACAAGGACUACUGGCGCGCCGAGAUCGCCGUCACCAACUUCAACUACCGCAUGAACUACACGCAGUGGACGCUUGUCGCCCAGCACUCCAACCUCAACAACGUAAGCGAGGUCUUCAGCUUCCAGUACAAGCCCUUCUUCCCCUACGGCAACAUCAACGACACCGGCAUGUUCUACGGCCUCAAGCUCUACAACGACCAGCUCAUGGAGCCCGGCCCCUUCGGCAACGUGCAGUCGGAGGUGCUCAUGCGCAAGGACGACACCACCUUCACCUUCAGCCAGGGGCGGGCCUUCCCGCGCAAGAUCUACUUCAACGGCAAUGAGUGCAAGAUGCCGCCGCCGGAAUCCUACCCUUACCUGCUCAACUCCACGCCGCCGCGUUCUUCCAUCGUCACCGCUGCCUCGACGUGCUUGAUGUUGUUGCUGCUGCUCCCGGCAUCAUGA
rnacentral:rRNA from 1 species